rnacentral:rRNA from 1 species
UCGGGUUGUAAAGCACUUUUGUCCGGAAAGAAAACUUCUGCCCUAAUACGGCGGGAGGAUGACGGUACCGGAAGAAUAAGCACCGGCAACUACGUGCCAGCAGCCGCGGUAAUACGUAGGGUGCGAGCGUUAAUCGGAAUUACUGGGCGUAAAGCGUGCGCAGGCGGUUCGUUAAGACAGAUGUGAAAUCCCCGGGCUUAACCUGGGAACUGCAUUUGUGACUGGCGAGCUAGAGUAUGGCAGAGGGGGGUAGAAUUCCACGUGUAGCAGUGAAAUGCGUAGAGAUGUGGAGGAAUACCGAUGGCGAAGGCAGCCCCCUGGGCCAAUACUGACGCUCAUGCACGAAAGCGUGGGGAGCAAACAGGAUUAGAUACCCUGGUAGUCCACGCCCUAAACGAUGUCAACUAGUUGUUGGGGAUUCAUUUCCUUAGUAACGUAGCUAACGCGUGAAGUUGACCGCCUGGGGAGUACGGUCGCAAGAUUAAAACUCAAAGGAAUUGACGGGGACCCGCACAAGCGGUGGAUGAUGUGGAUUAAUUCGAUGCAACGCGAAAAACCUUACCUACCCUUGACAUGGUCGGAACCCUGCUG